rnacentral:rRNA from 1 species
UACGUAGGUGGCAAGCGUUGUCCGGAUUUAUUGGGUUUAAAGGGUGCGUAGGCGGUCUAUUAAGUCAGUGCUGAAAUAUCCCGGCUUAACCGGGAGGGUGGCAUUGAUACUGAUGGACUUGAGUGCAGUCGAGGUAGGCGGAAUUGACGGUGUAGCGGUGAAAUGCUUAGAUAUCGUCAAGAACACCGAUAGUGAAGACAGCUUACUAGACUGUAACUGACGCUGCGGCACGAAAGUGUGGGGAUCAAACAGG